rnacentral:lncRNA from 1 species
GUAAAUGUGCACCUACGGCCCACGACUGGGCAUUUCUCUGGUCACAGGUCACAGGUCUCAGGUCUCUUAAUGACCCUGAGACCAGUGCCUUGAGACCUGGAAGGCAGCAGUUCCCAAGUGGCCCCAGACGGCAGCACCAGCAGCACCUUGUUAAAAUGCAAGCGCUCGGGCCCCACCCCAGACACCCUGAGUCAGAAACUCUGCGAGUGAGGCUGUCUUCGUCCAUCCAGGCUGCUGUAACAAAACAGUGCAGACCACGUGGCUCACCAACAGCAGAUGCAUACCGCUCACGGUCUCGGAGGCUGGAAGUCUGAGAUCAGGGCGCCAGCUCUGUGAUGGGGACACUGAAGCCCAGAGACACUAAAUAACUUGCCUAAAGCCACACAGCUAGCAAAUGCUGACGCCGGGAUUUGCAUCCAGGUCUGCAGAUUGCAAAGCCUGACAGGAGGAUGAGCCCUAAUCCAAAAUGAUGGAUGUCCUCAUAAGAAGAGGGAAUGUGGGCACAGAAAGAGGCACCAGGGAUGCAUGUGUACAGGAAAGGCCACACAAGGACACAGCAAGCCAAGGAGAGAGGCCUCAGGAGAAACCAACCCUGCCAACACCGUGACCGUGGACUUCCAGCCUCCCGGACGAAUAAAAGAGAAUGAGCCACCUGGUGUCUGACACACACACACCCCCUCCCUCGGGGGCACCUGCUGGACCAAAGCCACUGGGAGACGACUGCUCUUCUUAGCUCUUGUGAGAGUCAAGAUUCUCUGCGGAGAUUGUGCGGUGG